GUACUUUUGUCAAUACUGGAAUUGGUCUAAUCUUUCCUCCCAUUUUCUGUAUCCUAAAAAUUAAAUGAUACUUGUUAAAACAAAAUUUCUUCUGAUAUUUCAAUGUCCCAAUAUCAACUUUAUAGCUGUUAGGGACGUUAGAUAUCUGAUAACAUUUCUAAUUAACCAGUAACAAGUAAAAUUCCAAAAUAACUUUUGGUUAUUCGGUUUUAUUACAUGACUUUGAAGAUGGAAGAAAAAGGCAAAGCAGGAACUACCUUAUAUAAUCAAGAUAAAAACGAUAAACUCAUUUCAAAAAAGGUUUCAGUAGUUUUAAAACAGUUUAUUUCGUUGAAGGAGAGGAAAGAUGAGAAAAGAAAAAUUGCUGAAAAAUUGAAUGAUUCAAAUGUUGAUUUUUUACAAAAGCUGAAACUACUGAAAUCGUCAAGCAACUGUAAGAAGGAUACAGAUCAACUUCAGAAUAUAAUUAACCUUGUGGAAAACAUGGAGAGACUGGAAUACCAAUUGAAAAUGGAGAAAGGUUACAUAACAGAUCUGGAGAUGAAAAUACAAAAAGCAGAUGCCCAAAGAAUCGUUGUUUGGAAACGCAAGUCUAGAAAAGUAAUAAAAGACUCUUCAUCCUUUCAGCCAGACAGAAGUGGAACUCAAAAAUCUAUUGACGUUUUAAAAAGAAAAUUACAUGCUGCAUCAGUUCAGCUAAGUACUGAAUCAUCAAAAAAUUUUGAUCUAAGAGAAAAAAUUAGAGCAUUAAUGAGUGAGAGGAAGUGUUUCAAUAAAAAUUACAACAGUUCAAUUGAAAAACUACAAAAAGGAAAAAAAAUUCUGGAAGAUUUACACGUUUCUCUAAAAAAUGCUGACCUUGCAAGGCAGAAAAUUAUAAAUAAAAUCGAAAAAAUACAGUCUAAAGAAAAUAAACUGAAGAAAAUACAAGCCGAGGAAGCUUUUGAUUUAACAAUGCAUGUAGACAGUGAAAUCCAGUGGCAAAAUUACUAUCGCAUUAAAAUCAAAAGCAGAGAAAAAGGAAAAGAAGAAAUUACAAAAUUCAGAAAAAUGACUCUUUUGAGACUUCAGUCUACCCUUGGAGGAAACUUAGAAUUAUUGAGGAAUAUCUUAUUAGUUUAUGGAAUAAAUGGUUCUAUUGAUUACACCACUAUAGAAAGUGAUCUAAUUAAAUUGAUUAAAAAAGAUAAUACUGAGUUAGAUCAACUGUUCAAUUAUGUAACUCAAUUGAGAGAUGAGUUGGAGGCUAUGCAAGAAAAGGUAUUUAUUUUAAUUAAUGAAACGGAAGAUAAAUUAAAUGAAUAUGAUGAUGAUUUAUUCACAAAAGAGAAAAAUGUAUAUGAUUUAGAGUACAGGAGGGAUACUCUAAUAGAAUCUGAGUUCAACAUUUCAGACGAUCUUAUGAGAUGCACUCGUGAUAUGAACAGGAUCUACAAAGGGAUAGAGAAUCUCGUAGAAAUUUCCAAAGCAGAUGUUUCUCCUCUUUUGGAUAUGUUGGGAGACAAAAGUACACUGUCACAGCUUUUAACUUUCUUCUGUUUCUACAAGCUUUUGGAAACUCGAAUAAUCUUUCUGAAUGGAUUCUGUUGGUUUACCCCAAAAUAUCUAUACAGAUUUCUGAUAGAUUUAAGCCUUCCAGGAAGGUAGGAAAUAGAAAGGAGAGUGGAAUCACAAUGGUAGAAGACAGAGUGACUAUCAGCCUUCCAUGUCCAGUAUGUUAUGUCUCCAGCCAGAACAGAAAGAGCACUUUGGUUUUACUAUGACAUGCAGAGA
rnacentral:misc_RNA from 1 species